AGUAAAUUAUCACUGAGGCAGGGCACUAAACCAAGGCCAGAAGUUAUGAAACCUUACGGGCAGCAAAGUAACCUUACAUUCAACAAGGAUACAGACUCCUGGAGCCAACAAAGAAACUCAGAAAAUAGCUGGAAUGGUCAUUGUGAAUUGGGCUUACAAGCAUGUGAUAGGAUGCUCAUGAUUGAAUUCUAGUACUGGACUACACAUGUUAGACAUAAACUAGUAGAAAAAACUAGGUGCCAGUUAACAGAUGGGUAAUCCUACUCCCUUAAUCUGGACUAUAACAAAUAAUCAAAUUAGAGCUGCAAUGGCAAAAAA
rnacentral:lncRNA from 1 species